UCCAUUACGGAUACCCUGUCGAGGAGG
rnacentral:sRNA from 1 species